GAAUGAUGAGUGGUUGGGGAGGAGGUAUCCACCUUCCGACCAUAUAAAGGGGAUGCAGGCAAUCCGACCCAGAAAAAGAAAAAGGAAAGAAGGAAAAACAGAGGAGGAGCCUGGAGCCAAGCCAUCAUCAACUACCAUUCUAUACCUGUCACACCCAGUUUUCCUGAUUUCUCUGCACGCAUGCUACUCAAUACUAAUUAUCUUCCGAAAAUAUACAUGUCACGUGUUUUUUUCUUUUUGCCGGUAAUAAAUGUAACGUGCUUUUGCUUAAAAUGUGGUGGUCACAAAUGUCUUUAACCAAUUAAUUUCUGUCAUGAAAAAGAUAUACGUAUUUGUAAGCAGAAGAUAUAUAUAUAUAUAUAAUUCUUUACCUUGUAUUUUUGACGAACCAAUAUUUUGAACUACUCUAAUUUAUGAAAGUGGAGAUUUGAACUUGAGUGCUAUGUAGCACGAACACUCCAUCAGAUUGAAGUGUUAGAGUGUUUGACACGUAGACACAUGGACAAGCCUCGG
rnacentral:lncRNA from 1 species